rnacentral:rRNA from 1 species
CAGAUUGAACGCUGGCGGCAGGCCUAACACAUGCAAGUCGAACGGCAGCACAGAAGAGCUUGCUCUUUGGGUGGCGAGUGGCGGACGGGUGAGUAAUGUCUGGGAAACUGCCCGAUGGAGGGGGAUAACUACUGGAAACGGUAGCUAAUACCGCAUAACGUCGCAAGACCAAAGUGGGGGACCUUCGGGCCUCACACCAUCGGAUGUGCCCAGAUGGGAUUAGCUAGUAGGUGGGGUAAUGGCUCACCUAGGCGACGAUCCCUAGCUGGUCUGAGAGGAUGACCAGCCACACUGGAACUGAGACACGGUCCAGACUCCUACGGGAGGCAGCAGUGGGGAAUAUUGCACAAUGGGCGCAAGCCUGAUGCAGCCAUGCCGCGUGUAUGAAGAAGGCCUUCGGGUUGUAAAGUACUUUCAGCGGGGAGGAAGGCGGUGAGGUUAAUAACCUCGCCGAUUGACGUUACCCGCAGAAGAAGCACCGGCUAACUCCGUGCCAGCAGCCGCGGUAAUACGGAGGGUGCAAGCGUUAAUCGGAAUUACUGGGCGUAAAGCGCACGCAGGCGGUCUGUUAAGUCAGAUGUGAAAUCCCCGGGCUUAACCUGGGAACUGCAUUUGAAACUGGCAGGCUUGAGUCUCGUAGAGGGGGGUAGAAUUCCAGGUGUAGCGGUGAAAUGCGUAGAGAUCUGGAGGAAUACCGGUGGCGAAGGC